ACGAAGGGUGCAAGCGUUACUCGGAAUUACUGGGCGUGAAGCGUGCGUAGGUGGUUCGUUAAGUCUGAUGUGAAAGCCCUGGGCUCAACCUGGGAAUGGCAUUGGAAACUGGCGACCUAGAGUGCGGUAGAGGGUAGUGGAAUUCCCGGUGUAGCAGUGAAAUGCGUAGAGAUCGGGAGGAACAUCCGUGGCGAAGGCGACUACCUGGACCAGCACUGACACUGAGGCACGAAGGCCAGGGGAGCAAACGGGA
rnacentral:rRNA from 1 species